rnacentral:rRNA from 1 species
UGGGGAAUCUUCCGCAAUGGACGAAAGUCUGACGGAGCAACGCCGCGUGAGUGAUGACGGCCUUCGGGUUGUAAAGCUCUGUUAAUCGGGACAAAUGGUUCUUGUGCGAAUAGUGCGAGGAUUUGACGGUACCGGAAUAGAAAGCCACGGCUAACUACGUGCCAGCAGCCGCGGUAAUACGUAGGUGGCAAGCGUUGUCCGGACUUAUUGGGCGUAAAGCGCGCGCAGGCGGAUUGGUCAGUCUGUCUUAAAAGUUCGGGGCUUAACCCCGUGAUGGGAUGGAAACUGCCAAUCUAGAGUAUCGGAGAGGAAAGUGGAAUUCCUAGUGUAGCGGUGAAAUGCGUAGAUAUUAGGAAGAACACCAGUGGCGAAGGCGACUUUCUGGACGAAAACUGACGCUGAGGCGCGAAAGCCAGGGGAGCGAACGGG